rnacentral:rRNA from 1 species
GACGAACGCUGGCGGCGGGCUUAACACAUGCAAGUCGAACGAACGCCUUCGGGCGUUAGUGGCGCACGGGUGAGUAACACGUAGGCAAUCUACCCUCGGCUGGGGAAUAACCAGGGGAAACCCUGGCUAAUACCGCAUAACAUCUGGACGUCGCCUGGCGACCAGAUCAAAGCUUUAUGUGGCCGAGGAUGAGCCUGCGUCGGAUUAGCUAGUUGGUGGGGUAACGGCCUACCAAGGCGACGAUCCGUAGCGGGUCUGAGAGGAUGAUCCGCCACACUGGCACUGAGACACGGGCCAGACUCCUACGGGAGGCAGCAGUGAGGAAUAUUGCGCAAUGGACGAAAGUCUGACGCAGCCACGCCGCGUGCAGGAAGACCA